CUGGCGCUCAUAUGGAAUCCCGGCGCGUUCAAGGCGAGGACUUUAGUUGCUAAGCCACUGUGCCAGGCCUAGUACAGGUUUUUUAAACACCCAACAAUGUCUACCUGGGGGGAUACUUGAGGCCCUCAUCUGGAAUGUGGGUGUGGCUAAGAUCCUUGUCCUGGACUCCUCCUGUGCUGCUAUUUUGCCCUGGCACUUAGUAGGUGCUUAAUAAAUGAUUUACCUCCUGGGAUCACCAGGCACCUCCAGGGGUCACUGAGCCUGUGCUCCUCCCAGGCAGUAAACAGAAAGGCCACCUCCUUGUGGCUCUGGGCCUGCGCGUUCCGCCUGAGACCGGAUUGCUGCCUGAUUUAUCUGGAACACCCACUCCUGCUCUAGAUAGCCAGGCAAGGUUUGGAAUCUGUCUCCUGCACAGCUGCCCUAUCUCGAUAGCACAAUUUCUUUCACUGAGUGAAGACCCAGUCCCUGUAGAGGCCAGCCCAGGUGGAGCCUGCUUCCUCGGCAGAUGCCCGGAUGCCCACUGGAGCUGUGCCCUGGACAAGGACAGGUCAAAGUGCAGCUUGUCCCUUUUAAGAAGAAAAAAAAAAUCCUCUGUCUUUGGCCUCACUGAAAGUUCUGACACGGCUCAGUUGGAGGCCAUAGAGGGCUCAUGGUUCCUGCAGAGUUUAUUUAGUUCCUGGGCCUGGAGUGGUAGAGAAGCCUGCUAGAGCCUGUGCCCUGCUGGUUCCGAGCUGAAGUCCUGCCCUUUCAAGGCAGUCCUGGCCCGGCCUCCCCGGGCCUGUGAGGGUGAAUGGAAGGAGCCAGCACCUUCCCGCUACAGAGUUAUCUUUGCCCCCUGAAAUCAAACACUGCGAGCGGCACCCUGGUGAAGCCGCUUCCUCGUGUUCGUUAAGUAAACAUCCUCCCCUGGUUCUGGAAAGGAAUUCGUUUCUGCUUCCUGGUCAUCCCAUUAGAUUUUUUUUUUUCCCCUUUCUGUUCCCAGUGCCCCACAGAGUCAGGUUAAUAGGAGGAAGACCUAGAAUUGGGCAUAGGCGCCCACAGUGACUGUUGUAAUCCUAGUACGACUGUACAAAUGGUAAUAGGGUCGUGGGAAGGAAAAGAUCUUGAUGGAAAGUGCAGUGACACAAAGUCUGCCCACGCACGGUGGCGUCCUAAGGCUUUGCAGCUCACCGUUGGUCCAUGCCACACCCCAGCCCAGGACAUACCUGUGCCUGCAUUCAAGCUCAGCUGGCUCAUGGCCAUCAGCCCACCUUUGGCCAGCCGCUCUCGGCCAGUCCUAGGCUGCAUGUGUCCGUCCCCUGACCCUGCCCUGCUCUCACUGUGUCUCUCCUGACUGAUUUGCCUUAGCUCUCUUACUUCCACCCACCCGUGACAUCUCCAUUGCCAUGGCAGUGAGCAGCCACGUCAUUCAGCGAGUCUACAGGGUGAUGGGCCAGUCCUGUGCAGGGCCCGCUGCUCUCUGGUUCUAGCUCCUGAAGGAGGAGGCUCCCUGGCAGAGCACAGAGCCCUUUGUUUAUUUGAUCCUGGGCUCUUGGAUAAAUCAGGAAUGUCCUGACAUGAACUUAGGCAUGUUUUUCUUCCAUGGAGAAGGAAACUGCGGCAAAUGGGAUCUCAGCAAGCAGAGGACCAUUGCAGGGAACUUGCUUUGGUGCCAUCAAGGCCACAUUCCUUUGGUCAUCAGACCAGUAGGUGACUUCUUUAUUGGCAUGCUCAACCCUGGAGCCCAGAAGGUGUGAAUUUGAAGCACUUUCCCCCCUGCUGGGAGUCUGGCAUGGAAGGCCCUUUUAAAGCUGGUGCUAUGGGCAUCUUCCAAGUGGUCCUCCAUUCUGCCGGGCAAAAGCUUGGGCCAAAGGAGUUGCUUGAAGGAGGUUUGGGAUGUGGGUAGGAGAUAAGGCAGCUGGCUGCCUGGUCUGUCGUUCUCCCAUCAUCCCUCUGGAAGUUGCGGGGUUCUUGGAGGGCUCUUUGAGAGUCAGCCACCUCAGGACCCCAGUGGGUCUUGCCUUUCUGGCCAGGCCAGGGCUCAGGAGGUGUGACUGGUUGUGAACAACCUUUGUGGUCUACAUUCUUUGGACGUAGAGGUGUGGGAAAGAAGGCUUCCUGGGCGUGUCUGGCUAUGUAGGCUCCAGUGGAUUAGCAUCAGAGCUGUGCUGGGAAGCAUUUUUUGAGUCUGGGGUGGGGGGAUGGAGAAGAGAGGGGCAGGAAAAUGUUGAGAGCCAUGAACUUUGCUGCCCUGGAAACCUGUCCAUAUCCAGAGCAGAGUCUCCAGAUGGUUUCCCAUCCGGGCCUGCCCCGCGUCGCGGGUCUGGAGUGGCUGCUUGGUGCCCACUUUCCAUGCGUGCUUGUCCCAGAGAAGAGAGCCCAGUCAUUGGCCAUUGCAGGCCUAGGCCUGGCUGUCGCUGUGUUUUGCUGCUUUUCUUGUUGUGAGGAGGAUCUUCUUGGGAACAAAUGACUCAGCAACCUGGAUCUUGGAGGCUGUGUGGCCUGGGUGUGUGGCCUGAGUGUCUGCUGAACAGUAACUGGACGGAGAUACCUGGGCCCUACCAUGAUGGGCCUGGGGAAGAAACGGAGAACCAGACUGCUCUCCCUCUGGACUCUCCAGGCUCUGAGGUUCAGUUUGGUUUUUCCAAAUUCCUGUGCUGAUAGCAGGAUCUGACUCGUGGGGUAAGCAGGCAAUGUUUUAAUUAUGCUUUUUGUCCUUAGGAAAUUCCAGGGAGAAAAAGGUCCUGGUGUGCAGCCAAAAAAAGCCAAAAACAACAACAGAAAUGAGCUGCGGCUAUAAUUCUGGACUUGUCUGUGGUGGAAAGAGUUAAGGGGGUGGUGGUCCCAGGGCAAGGACCACUUCCCCUUGCUGAGGGAAGCCCCUGGGUCUCAAGAGAAGAUGAUGCAACGUUUAGCAGGGAGCAGCCCUGUCUGGGCUCUGGGGGCUGCCACUGUAAGAGUUAACCUUGGCACUGCCCUCCGGCUCUCCAGGGGAAAAGCUGCAGUUCUGCUCUUGCAACACAAGGAGCAGACUGGAGAAUUUAGAUCUGCGUCACAGAGCUCAGAGAGAGAGAGAGAGCAAGCGAGCGAGCGAGCAAGCUCCGUGGAUAGGUCUGCUAGCAACAGCCGUGCUGCAGCAGGGAGAGAGAGAAAUGAAGAAACAAGUCAUAG